UAGUCCACGCCGUAAACGAUGAGUGCUAGAUGUCAGGAGCUUUGACCCUCCUGGUGUCGCAGCUAACGCGAUAAGCACUCCGCCUGGGGAGUACGGCCGCAAGGCUAAAACUCAAAGGAAUUGACGGGGGCCCGCACAAGCGGUGGAGCAUGUGGUUUAAUUCGACGUCAACGCGCAGAACCUUACCUGGGCUAGAAAGUACAGGAACACCGGUGAAAACUAGUGGUGCCUUUCGGGGAACCUGUAGUUAGGUGCUGCAUGGCUGUCGUUCAGCUCGUGUCGUGAGAUGUUGGGUUAAGUCCCGCAACGUAGCGCAACCCUUGCCGUUAGUUGCCAGCAUUAAGUUGGGCACUCUAACGGGACUGCCGACCUUUAAGUCGGAGGAAGGUGGGGAUGACGUCAAGUCCUCAUGGCCCUUAUGUCCAGGGCUACACACGUGCUACAAUGAUCGGUACAAAGGGCUGCUAAGCCGCGAGUGGAGCCAAUCCCAAAAAGCCGAUCUCAGUACGGAUAAG
rnacentral:rRNA from 1 species